AAAAAAAAAGCGGGGUGAAAGUCGAAGUGCAAACUUUCCAGUCUUUUGCAGGAUCGAAGUUACAGCAGAGAAGAAAGGAAGGGGAGAGAAGAG